UCGUCCGAAGACACAUUGGUUGUCGCACUCUAACUUUAGUUUAAGUGAAUGGAUCUUUUUGAAAUUUGACCAUAAGGUUAAAUACCACAAAAGGAAGGUUGGGAUUGAUAUUGGGGGUUAUGGUACCAACAGUUAAGGAAUUAGGGGCCAAAAAUAAGCAUUUUUGUAACUUUCAGACAAUAACUUGUGUGUAAGUGUAUGGAUCUCUCUGACAUUGUACCACAAGGUUCCAUAUCACAAAGGGAAGGCUGUAAUUGAUUUUGGGGGUAAUUGCCUCAAAAUUUUAGGAAUUAGGGGCCAAAAAAGGGGCAAAAAACAAGCAUUUUUCUAGUUUCAUGACAAUAACUUGUGUGUAAGUGUUUGGAUAUUUCUGAAAUUGUACUACAAGGUUCCAUAUCACAAAAGGAAAGCUGGAAUUGAGUUUGGGGGUAAUUGCCCGAAACGUUUAGGAAUUGGGGGCCAAAAAGGGGCCAAAAAUAAGCAUUUUUCUAGUUUCCAGACAAUAACUUGUGUUCAAGUGUAUGGAUCUCUCUGAAAUUGUACUGCAAGGUACCAUACCACAAAGGGAAGGCUGGGAUUGAGUUUGGGGGUGAUGAAUCAUAAGGGGGUUCAAAAAAUUUGGGGGGGGGAUUUUUUUUUUUUUUUUUUUUCUUUUUUUCCUUUUUUUUUUCUUUUAAAAUUUUCCAUUUUAAGUUGGUUAUUUCUGAUUUAUAUUUAAAAGCAAAUAAUAAUGAUAUGGUAGGAGAUACACACCAAACAGGAUGUGUAAAUUAUUAUAUAAUAAGUAUUGUGCAAUAGCAAGAAAUUUUCAAUUGCACAGUAUUGCACAAUAGCAAGAAAUCUUCAAUUGCACAGUAUUGCGCAAUAGCAAGAAAUCUUCAAUUUAACAGUAUUGCGCAAUAGCAAGAAAUAUCCAAUAGCACAAUAUUGCGCAAUAGCAAGAAAUUGUCAAUUGUACAGUAUUGCGCAAUAGCAAAAAAUAUUCAAUUGCACAGUAUUGUGCAAAAGAAGAUACUUCGUAUAAAUUGCUUAUUUCUUGAUCAAUUUCAAUGGGGUUUUAUUCUUGAAUUCUUGGGGUUCUUUAAUAUGCUGAAUCUAACCGUGUAUUAAGUUUUUGGAUUUUGGGCCCCGUUUUUAAAUUGGUCCACAUUGAGGUCCAAAGGGUCCAAAAUUUAAUUUUGGGUCCCGUUUUUUAAAUUGGUCUACAUUAAGGUCCAAAGGGUCCAAAAUUAAACUUAGUUUGAUUUUAACAAAAAUUGAAUUCUUAGGGUUCUUUGAUAUGCUGAAUCUAAACAUGUGUUUAGAUUUUUGAUUAUGGGCCCAGUUUUCAAGUUGGUCCAAGUUGGGGUCCAAAAUUAAACUUUGUUUGAUUUCAACAAAAAUUGAAUAUAUGGGGUUCUUUGAUAUGCUGAAUCUAAACAUGUAUUUAGAUUUUAGAUUUUUGGCCCAGUUUUCAAGUUGGUCCAAAUUGGGGUCCAAAAUUAAACUUUGUUUGAUUUCAACAAAAAUUGAAUAUAUGGGGUUCUUUGAUAUGCUGAAUCUUACCAUGUAUUUAGAUUUUUGAUUUGUGGGCCCACUAUCAAAUUGGUUCAUAUUGAGGUCAAAAGGGUCCAAAAUUAAACUUUGUUUGAUUUCAUCAAAAAUUGAAUUAUUGGGGUUCUUUGAUAUGCCAAAUCUAACCGUGUAUUUAGAUUUUUAAUUUUGGGUCCUGUUUUUUAAAUUGGUCUACAUUAAGGUCCAAAGGGUCCAAAAUUAAACUUAGUUUGAUUUUAACAAAAAUUGAAUUUUUGGGGUUCUUUGAUAUGCUGAAUCUAAACAUGUGUUUAGAUUUUUGAUUAUGGGACCAGUUUUCAAGUUGGUCCAAGUUGGGGUCCAAAAUUAAACUUUGUUUGAUUUCAACAAAAAUUGAAUAUAUGGGGUUCUUUGAUAUGCUGAAUCUAAACAUGUAUUUAGAUUUUAGAUUUUUGGCCCAGUUUUCAAGUUGGUCCAAAUUGGGGUCCAAAAUUAAACUUUGUUUGAUUUCAACAAAAAUUGAAUAUAUGGGGUUCUUUGAUAUGCUGAAUCUUACCAUGUAUUUAGAUUUUUUAUUUGUGGGCCCGCUAUCAAAUUGGUUCAUAUUAAGGUCAAAAGGGUCCAAAAUUAAACUUUGUUUGAUUUCAUCAAAAAUUGAAUUAUUGGGGUUCUUUGAUAUGCCAAAUCUAACCGUGUAUUUAGAUUUUUAACUUUGGGUACUGUUUUUUAAAUUGGUCUACAUUUAGGUCCAAAGGGUCCAAAAUUAAACUUAGUUUGAUUUUAACAAAAAUUGAAUUUUUGGGGUUCUUUGAUAUGCUGAAUCUAAACAUGUGUUUAGAUUUUUGAUUAUGGGACCAGUUUUCAAGUUUGUCCAAGUUGGGGUCCAAAAUUAAACUUUGUUUGAUUUCAACAAAAAUUGAAUAUAUGGGGUUCUUUGAUAUGCUGAAUCUAACCAUGUAUUUUGAUUUUGGACAUUGGACCAUAAUAGGUAAAUUAAAAAAAUUGAAGUUCUUAGACCACAUUCUUUCUGUGUCAGAAACCUAUGCUGUGUCAAAUAUUUAAUCACAAUCCAAAUUCAGAGCUGUAUCAAGCUUGAAUGUUGUGUCCAUACUUGCCCCAACUGUUCAGGGUUCGACCUCUGCGGUCGUAUCAAGCUGCGCCCAGCGAAGCAUUUUAUUGAUUAU